rnacentral:tRNA from 1 species
GCGAAAGUGGCGGAAUUGGCAGACGCGCUGGACUUAGGAUCCAGUGGGAGCAAUCCUGUAGGGGUUCGAGUCCCCUCUUUCGCA